rnacentral:lncRNA from 1 species
AAUGGAUAGGCUUCACCUGCCAGGUCUCUACUCCGAACUUCUACCAAACUUCGUCAAUGACCGAGCUUCUCCAGUAGCGGAACAGCUACAAUAAGAAGUCUCCAUCCGAGCUUCCAUAGCAACCGAUCUUCGUUCAAGCUUCUACAAUAAGCGGACUCCUUUCAGACUCCUACAAAAGCCAAACUCCAUCCGAACUUCUACAGCAGAAUUAAAUCUUGAACUCCUCCAA